UACGGAGGGUGCAAGCAUUGAUCGGAAUUACUGGGCGUAAAGGGCGCGUAGGUGGUCCGAAAAGUCAGAUGUGAAAUUCCGGGGCUCAACCCCGGAGCUGCAUUUGAAACUUUUAGACUAGAGUAUAGUAAGGGUAAACGGAAUUCCACGUGUAGCGGUGAAAUGCGUAGAUAUGUGGAAGAACACCAGUGGUGAAGACGGUUUACUGUGCUAUAACUGACACUGAGGCGCGAAAGCUAGGGGAGCAAACAGG
rnacentral:rRNA from 1 species